UGGGGAAUUUUCCGUAAUGGGCGAAAGCCUGACGGAGCAAUGCCGCGUGGAGGUGGAAGGCCUACGGGUCGUCAACUUCUUUUCUCGGAGAAGAAACAAUGACGGUAUCUGAGGAAUAAGCAUCGGCUAACUCUGUGCCAG
rnacentral:rRNA from 1 species